rnacentral:rRNA from 1 species
AACUACGGCUAUGCCACCCUGAACACGCCCAAUCUCGUCUGAUCUCGGAAGCUAAGCAGGGUCAGGGAUGGGAGACCACCUAGGAAUACCUGGUGCUGUAGGCG